CCCUCAGAAUGGUUGGAAAUCAUUCAUAGAGUGUAAAGGCAUAAGGGAGCUUGACUGCGAGACCUACAAGUCGAGCAGGGUCGAAAGACGGACUUAGUGAUCCGGUGGUUCCGCAUGGAAGGGCCAUCGCUCAACGGAUAAAAGCUACCCCGGGGAUAACAGGCUUAUCUCCCCCAAGAGUUCACAUCGACGGGGAGGUUUGGCACCUCGAUGUCGGCUCAUCGCAUCCUGGGGCUGUAGUCGGUCCCAAGGGUUGGGCUGUUCGCCCAUUAAAGCGGUACGCGAGCUGGGUUCAGAACGUCGUGAGACAGUUCGGUCCCUAUCCGUCGUGGGCGUAGGAAAUUUGAGAGGAGCUGUCCUUAGUACGAGAGGACCGGGAUGGACAUACCUCUGGUGUACCAGUUGUCGUGCCAACGGCAUAGCUGGGUAGCUAUGUGUGGACGGGAUAAGUGCUGAAAGCAUCUAAGCAUGAAGCCCCCCUCAAGAUGAGAUUUCCCAACUUCGGUUAUAAGAUCCCUCAAAGAUGAUGAGGUUAAUAGGUUCGAGGUGGAAGCAUGGUGACAUGUGGAGCUGACGAAUACUAAUCGAUCGAAGACUUAAUCAA
rnacentral:rRNA from 1 species